UCCGGAGGAAGCUCACCGUCGAGGCCACGCACUGGGUGUCCGUCACCCGCGCUUCUCCGCCUCGGGGAAGGUCUGAGGGAAGGGCCAUGAGGCGGCUCCAGCAGAGCCCCGCCCGCGUGGGUGGGUGAGCCACCAGCAAGGGGGGGCGCCGCGCGGGCCGGCCUGGGCAGGAGAAGCCCGAACGGCUGCGGAGCUGAUCUGAGCCGGGGCGGAUGCUCGUGGCCCCGCGGUGCUUUGAGACAGACUCACGGCCGGCGUGCUGAGUCCAAUGGGUGAGGUGGGGCAGCGCCCCACAACCUAAUUCAGACUACUCUCCGCCGGA
rnacentral:RNase_P_RNA from 7 species